CUGCAAUAGAAGUCCCGAAGUGCCGAAGUCCCGAAAUGCCGAAAUUCCGAAGUGUCGAAGUGCAGAGGUGCCGAAGUGCCAAAGUUGCCGAAGUGUUGAAGUCCCGAAGUUGCCUAUUUCCGAAGUUCCGAAGUGCUGAAGUGCCGAAGUUCCGAAGUUGCCGAAAUUCCGAAGUCUUUAAGUGACGAACUGCCGAAGUCCUGAAUUGCGAAAAUCCCGAAUUUCGCAAUGCUGAACCGAACCGAAAAUUUUCCCCAUGCACAUGCCUAGAACAGAGUCACAAACCAUGAUUAUGAAAGGUAAGAGAAAUGUGUGACAGGGAGAGUUUAUUGGUGUCAUGGGAAGUCAU